rnacentral:lncRNA from 1 species
UUUUUAUGGGGGUGCUAGGAUGAAAUUUGAAAAAAAUAGGCAGGACAGGAAUUUUGAGUAAAAAAAAAGGCAGGAUGAGACACUUGCAAAAAAAAAAAGAAGUCAGGACUACAAUUUAGGUAAUAAAAAGUCAGGAUAAACUAAAAAAAAAAAAGCAGGACCGAACAGAGUGAAAAUUAAAAAGGCAGGACAGAGAUUACAGCUAAAAAAAAAUGCAGGACAAAAUUUUUCAUCCUAGCCCCCCCAUAAAAAUCAAAUGGUAGCUCCCUAAUAUUAAA